rnacentral:lncRNA from 1 species
GAAGGAAGUAACCCACCAAAGUGAAAAAGAGGAACAAGUUCUAACCCAAUGCAGGUUUAAAACAUAACCAAAAGAACAAAAGAGAGAGCUUGACACACCAAUCUUGAGGUUAUCACGCUAUAAUAGAGAAUGGACUCAUUAAUAUGGGAUUACAGAGGAAGGAAUGGUUAAGAAAAAGACAUGGCCUCUGACUGCUCCAAAAAAGGAUAAGCAGGGCUUCACAGAAGAGGUGACAGGAAUUUAUUGCCAUGUGGUUUACUCCAGCAUCACUGGUUGUUUGCAGCUUUCUAGUUUCUUCCAUCAUUCCCAGGACCAGCUUCUCUGCAACCUGUCAGAAGCACCAGCACCAGCCAGGUGGCACCCUCCCUUAGACUCUGACAGCCAGACUCUCCUUCAACCUCCUGAAGUGGUGCAGGAGACAAGUGGUACCCUCAGAGUUCUGCGUCCCAGCCUGGCAGGGCUCCUCCUCUGAGGUCUGGUAACUCUCAGCCAAGAUUGUUACAGUUACUAUCUCUGUGGUACCUGUGUCCCCUUUUUUGUUUUUCCAUCCUGCCAAUGCCUGUUUAGCCAAUUAUCUAUAUUAAAUUCUCUCUGUUAAAACAAA